UACGUAGGGAGCAAGCGUUGUCCGGAAUCAUUGGGCGUAAAGCGCGCGCAGGUGGUUUCUUAAGUCUGAUGUGAAAGCCCACGGCUCAACCGUGGAGGGUCAUUGGAAACUGGGGAACUUGAGUGCAGGAGAGAAGAGUGGAAUUCCACGUGUAGCGGUGAAAUGCGUAGAGAUGUGGAGGAACACCAGUGGCGAAGGCGACUCUUUGGCCUGUAACUGACACUGAGGCGCGAAAGCGUGGGGAGCAAACAGG
rnacentral:rRNA from 1 species